GCCUACCAACCUCUCCCUAGUGCAGCGUUGGGGAAAUCCUCGACACUUCAAGGCUUGUCGGAGAAAAACACAAUAGUAGAUCACAGCCACCAACUGCUCCCUAGUCCUAGCGUCGAGGAAAUGAUCUAAAUAUAUUACUAUAUUAUACUGUCAGAGAGAACAGUGUCGUGAGACAAAGACGACAGCAGAUCACCUCUCUGUCAGCUCUCAUGGCUCCAUUUCUGCUCCUGUUGUUCCUUCUGUCUGAAGCAGCUACUGACGUGAUUGAGGUAACAGUGGAUCCUGGAGAUGAUGUCAUUCUGCCAUGUCAGGCUGCUGAUUCCAACAUCAGAGCUGUAGAGUGGAGAAGACCUGACCUGGAGCCAGAAUACGUCCUCUUAUACAGUGAUGGACACCUGGAUACAGACAACCAGAACCAUCCAUCUGCAGCUUACAGACCUGAUUGUGGUAGCAGUGCCUGGACAUGAUGUCAUUCUGCCAUGUCAGGCUCCUGGUUCCUCCAUCAGAGCUGCAGAGUGGACCAGACCUGACCUGGAGCCAAAUACCGUCCUCUUAUACAGUGAUGUGGACACUUGAAUACAGACGUCCAGCAUCCAUCCUUUAAGGACAGGGUGGAGCUGGUGGACAGACAUCUGAAGGGCGGAGACGCGUCUUUAAUUCUGAAGAAUGUGAACAGACUCGACACUGGAAUAUACAAGUGUCGAGUUAAAACCGGUGAUUCAACACAAGACAUCAACUCUGACAAAAUCAGAAUCAUCAGAAUCAUCUAUCUGCAGGUUACAGAGCCAGGUGCUGCAGUGGUUGGUGUCCUGAUAUAUAAAAGACAUAAGAACAAGAGAUCAGGACAACCUGCUGCUGCUGAUGAAGCAUCAGCCGAUAAGUUAAUGUGACAUCUCCCAGAGCUCUUUACACCAGACUGUUUUCUCAUGUGUUGUAAAUACAACAUGAUUAUCAUUACUUCUGUGGGUGUGAGGUCAUGUGCAGAUCUGCUAUUUUGGUCUGUUUGCCCCAUCGUGGUGGAGGGGUCUGUGUAUCUGAGUCUGGGAUCUGUAUUAUCUGGAGCUCUGAGAUCCUCUAGGGCAGGGGUCACCAACCUUUUAGAAACUGAGAGCUACUUCAUGGGUACUGAGUCAUACGAAGGGCUACCAGUUUGAUACGCUCUUCUGAAAUAACAAAUUUGCUCAGUUUGCCUUUAGUUAUAUAUGAUUAUUAAUGAUUAAUGAUAUUCAUCUAUGUGAAGACACUGAUUACGUUAAUGAUUUCUCACAAUAAUUAUCAACAAUGACUUAACAAGGUGGGAAACAAAUAAUGUCAAUAUUCAAUUUUCAUUUUUAGAACAGGCCUGAGGGCUACUCAUGUGGUCCUUGGGGGCUACCUGGUGCCCGCGGGCUCCGUGUUGGUGACCUCUGCUCUAGGGUCUCCCAUGGUGAGAUGGUCCCAGAGGAGGGCCAGACUAAAGGCCUUUUUAUGGAUGUGCGUCAAAUCAAUGGUGUACCCCUGCAGACCCCUCUGCGUCUACGUACCCUGACGUGCACCAAAAAUGUAACUACACGUCGCUCGGCUGUGGCUUGGUAGCAUUGUAUUUCCCCCCUGACUCAUUUCCUGGUUCUCCUUCUUCGUAAACAACAUGAAAUCAAGGAGAGGGUUACCUUUUCCUGCUCCAGAUUUUCCACCGUGGUCAGAAAGAACAGGGUGACGAGUGAGAGACACUUUGUUUCUCUCACUAUGACUCUAGAGUCGCUACUCGCUCCGAGACUCGGAGCGAGACUCGCUGUCUUUGGUGUCUUUGUAGCCUUUACAGAAGGUUUUCUAUCCAGCCUGGAAGUUGUGCCUCUUUUCGGAGUUGUUCAGCAAUAAAUCCAAACGCUUAUAUCCUAGAUUUAUCCACUUGAUGUCCAUAAUUAAUCAAUUUUCUGUCAUUUUUGCCGCUAGCUCGAUGCUAGCUGCCAUUUUGAAUAUCCCAUGAUGCUUUGCGAGAUUGUGUUGACGUCUUUCAACCAAUGGGAAGGCAGGUCCGUCAUACAAAGACUAUGUAAUUGAAAAGAUGAAUCGCCCCAGCGAAUCCGAGCGAGAACAAAGGCUAAACAGUGAAAGAUGGAUCACUGCAGUCUAAUUACCGUUCUACAGAGAAGAAUGUUUUGAGAUUUGGCACACAUUUGGGCCUUUUUUGAAGAAAUGUAAAUAGUUUGUCCUUUUACAUGAGUUAUAAUGUUUAUUAUGUUUAUUUUUGCACUGCAUGACUCCAAAUAUAUAGGAGAACUGUUUUAGAACAUUGCUGUGUGUGUGAUUUCAAUAAAUAUGACAUUAUUAUUUGAUUAUUGGCAUAAGUGAAUGUCAUGAGGGCAAAAGCGUCUGGACUUUUUUUGAAAAAAUGUAUAUAUUUAGUCAACUGUAUAAAUUAUAAUGUUUAUUUCUUCACAGUGUUACUCCUAAUACAUAUGGGAACUGAUGUAGACAGGAGAUUGGCUGUGUGUGAUCUCAAUAUAUGUCUGUGAGAUUCAUGUUCCGUUUUAUUUAUUUAUUUGUCUUUAAGGUCAUACAACCAUUUUUUACAUUCAAGGGACCUCACUGCAGCACAAAUAUUCUAAUAGCCCAGUUUCUCCUGAAAAAAAUGAUGUUCAUAAAUUGACUGUAGACAACAGGGUUGAUGUUUUACAAGAUGUUUUAGAAAAUAAAACCAGACGGACAAUGAACUGUAAAAAUGACCUUAGGUUUCUG
rnacentral:lncRNA from 1 species